rnacentral:rRNA from 1 species
AUACAUGCAAGUCGAACGAUGAAGCUUCUAGCUUGCUAGAGUGCUGAUUAGUGGCGCACGGGUGAGUAACGCAUAGGUUAUGUGCCUCUUAGUUUGGGAUAGCCAUUGGAAACGAUGAUUAAUACCAGAUACUCCCUACGGGGGAAAGAUUUAUCGCUAAGAGAUCAGCCUAUGUCCUAUCAGCUUGUUGGUAAGGUAAUGGCUUACCAAGGCUAUGACGGGUAUCCGGCCUGAGAGGGUGAACGGACACACUGGAACUGAGACACGGUCCAGACUCCUACGGGAGGCAGCAGUAGGGAAUAUUGCUCAAUGGGGGAAACCCUGAAGCAGCAACGCCGCGUGGAGGAUGAAGGUUUUAGGAUUGUAAACUCCUUUUGUUAGAGAAGAUAAUGACGGUAUCUAACGAAUAAGCACCGGCUAACUCCGUGCCAGCAGCCGCGGUAAUACGGAGGGUGCAAGCGUUACUCGGAAUCACUGGGCGUAAAGAGCGCGUAGGCGGGAUAGUCAGUCAGGUGUGAAAUCCUAUGGCUUAACCAUAGAACUGCAUUUGAAACUACUAUUCUAGAGUGUGGGAGAGGUAGGUGGAAUUCUUGGUGUAGGGGUAAAAUCCGUAGAGAUCAAGAGGAAUACUCAUUGCGAAGGCGACCUGCUGGAACAUUACUGACGCUGAUUGCGCGAAAGCGUGGGGAGCAAACAGGAUUAGAUACCCUGGUAGUCCACGCCCUAAACGAUGGAUGCUAGUUGUUGGAGGGCUUAGUCUCUCCAGUAAUGCAGCUAACGCAUUAAGCAUCCCGCCUGGGGAGUACGGUCGCAAGAUUAAAACUCAAAGGAAUAGACGGGGACCCGCACAAGCGGUGGAGCAUGUGGUUUAAUUCGAAGAUACACGAAGAACCUUACCUAGGCUUGACAUUGAGAGAAUCCGCUAGAAAUAGUGGAGUGUCUGGCUUGCUAGACCUUGAAAACAGGUGCUGCACGGCUGUCGUCAGCUCGUGUCGUGAGAUGUUGGGUUAAGUCCCGCAACGAGCGCAACCCCCUUUCUUAGUUGCUAACAGGUCAUGCUGAGAACUCUAAGGAUACUGCCUCCGUAAGGAGGAGGAAGGUGGGGACGACGUCAAGUCAUCAUGGCCCUUACGCCUAGGGCUACACACGUGCUACAAUGGGGUGCACAAAGAGAAGCAAUACUGCGAAGUGGAGCCAAUCUUCAAAACACCUCUCAGUUCGGAUUGUAGGCUGCAACUCGCCUGCAUGAAGCUGGAAUCGCUAGUAAUCGCAAAUCAGCCAUGUUGCGGUGAAUACGUUCCCGGGUCUUGUACUCACCGCCCGUCACACCAUGGGAGUUGUGUUUGCCUUAAGUCAGGAUGCUAAAUUAGCUACUGCCCACGGCACACACAGCGACUGGGGUGAAGUCGUAAC